rnacentral:rRNA from 1 species
AACGAACGCUGGCGGCAUGCCUAACACAUGCAAGUCGAACGCCUGCAGCAAUGCAGGAGUGGCAGACGGGUGAGUAACACGUGGGAAUCUACCCAGUAGCUCGGAAUAACCGCGGGAAACUGCGGCUAAUACCGGAUAAGCCCCGAGGGGGAAAGGAGCAAUCAAGUAUCGGAGGAGCCCGCGUCUGAUUAGCCAGUGGGUGGGGUAGGGGCCUUCCAAGGCGAUGAUCAGUAGCUGGUUUGAGAGAACGACCAGGCACACUGGGACGGGGACACGGCCCAGACUCCUACGGGAGGCAGCAGUGGGGAAUAUUGGAGAAUGGGGGAAACCCUGAUCCAGCAAUGCCGCGUAGGUGAUGAAGGCCGUCGUGUUGUAAAGCCCGUUUGUCGGGGACGAUGAUGACGGUACCCGACGAAUAAGCCCCGGCUAACUUCGUGCCAGCCGCCGCGGUAA